CCUACGGGAGGCAGCAGUGAGGAAUAUUGGUCAAUGGGCGCGAGCCUGAACCAGCCAAGUCGCGUGAAGGAUGACUGCCCUACGGGUUGUAAACUUCUUUUAUAAAGGAGUAAAGUGAGGCACGUGUGCCUUUUUGUAUGUACUUUAUGAAUAAGGAUCGGCUAACUCCGUGCCAGCAGCCGCGGUAAUACGGAGGAUCCGAGCGUUAUCCGGAUUUAUUGGGUUUAAAGGGAGCGUAGGUGGGUUGGUAAGUCAGUUGUGAAAUUUUGCGGCUCAACCGUAAAAUUGCAAUUGAUACUGGCAGCCUUGAGUACAGUAGAGGUAGGCGGAAUUCGUGGUGUAGCGGUGAAAUGCGUAGAUAUCACGAAGAACUCCGAUUGCGAAGGCAGCUUACUAAACUGCCACUGACACUGAUGCUCGAAAGUGUGGGGAUCAAACAGGAUUAGAUACCCCAGUAGUC
rnacentral:rRNA from 1 species